AGGAAGGCUAGUUUGGCACAGCUUCUGGGCACUGGACUAUGACUAGGACUUGUUUGCUGUUUGUCUGAAAUUGAGGUGGUAUCAGCGUGGUCUCUAGGAAUGGUAGUGCAAAAGGCUCUUCUCCAACCUGUACCCAUUAUGAAGGUGGAGAAGAUAAAGAAAAAAGUUUUGUUUUGAUCGAUCUGAGGUUGCCACAGAAGACAAAAGCGCAGAGCAGUAAGAGCAUGGGAUCAAACGAAAAGAAAAGCAAAGAGACAAAGAAGUGGAUUUAAAGAGAUAAAAGAACCCCAACACACACCCAGGCCUUUCUUUCUAUUUCUACUUCUCUUUUGCUCUCAUUUCAUAUUUCAACUUUCUAUUCUAUACUUCUCUCUCUUUCCAUCGAUAACCCCAAAAAGAUAUCUGGCAACCUCAAGGCUUGAGAUCUACUGCUUCUGUUUCUCUGUGUUUGAUAUAACACAGUUUCUCUCCUUUGAAAUAUAUAUUCCUUGGAAAUGGUAAAUCAAGACUUUUCACCCAGGUGACCGCCACGUGUUGGUUUUUUUUUUACCUAGCCCGUCAACGUUCCAGCCCCAACUGUAUACCACGUUUUGGCCACCGACCUGUAAACUAGUCACAAUCUCUUACAUGCUCCCAUGCUCUUUUAAGGAUCUCGUUUCACGCGCCGUGCCGGCUCUAACUUCACGUGAUUCUCCAUUCAUACAUGCGUGGGAUUCACUUUCGUAACUGCGGCUGGAAACUGAACUAGAACUGUCGUUCUUGUCUCUGUCAUUCAAUGCAUGAUAUAUGUAUACAUGGGUUUGAUAGUUGUGUGAAGAAUCCCGCGCGGCCGAGAGCAAUACUUGAAAUUUGUAAUCAGACAUUUCAGCCGUUCAUCAAUACGAUAUACUGACAGGUUAAAACUGGCGCGGGACCACAGGAGUGGCGGUCGACGAAAAUACAGGUUUUACUUCGAUUAAAAAAAAUAAAAUAUGGACAGCUAGAUAGUAAUAUUUAGGAAUGAAAGAAAAAUAGAGAGUAAAAAAGGAGAAAAUAAAAAUUAAUGAAGAAGUUUCUUUUUAAUUGUUUAGAUAUUAAAAAAAUAAG